rnacentral:hammerhead_ribozyme from 1 species
GUCCAACUGAUGAGUCCCAAAUAGGACGAAGCGAGCGUCAAACUGGAU